AACGUAGGAGACAAACGUUAUCCGGAUUUACUGGGCGUAAAGGGCGUGUAGGCGGUUCGUUAAGUCUGGCGUGAAAGCUCUCGGCUAAACCGGGAGAGGUCGUUGGAUACUGGCAAACUAGAGGACGGUAGAGGCGUGUGGAAUUCCGGGUGUAGUGGUGAAAUGCGUAGAGAUCCGGAGGAACACCAGUGGCGAAGGCGACACGCUGGGCCGUACCUGACGCUAAAGCGCGACAGCAUGGGGAGCAAACGGG
rnacentral:rRNA from 1 species